GAAGUGGGUUGGAUGGUCGCUGGCGCGUCCCUUACGGGAAGCGCUGGAGGAAAGUCCGGGCACCAUAGGACAGGAUGCUGGCUAACGGCCAGACCCGGAAACGGGAUGGAAAGUGCCACAGAAAAUAUACCGCCGAGGGUCGCUUCGCGACCCUUUAGGAGUCCGCCUCACGGCGGACUCCACCAACUCCGGGUCACCGGGGAACGUAGAGUUUGCGCAAGCAAACCCUUAAAGUCUCGGCCGUAAGGCUGAGACUCGGUAAGGGUGAAAUGGCGAGGUAAGAGCUCACCGCAUUCCUGGUGACAGGAGUGGCAGGGCAAACCCCAUCCGGUGCAAGACCAAAUAGGAUGGCCAGGACCCGACGGCGCAAGCCGGCCGGGGACCAGGAGCGGUCCGCUCCUGCGGUCAUCGGGUAGGUCGCUCGAGGCGGCGGGUAACCGUCGUCCCAGAUGGAUGACCAUCCCAGUUGUUCGGGGCAACCCGGACGAUCUGAGACAGAACCCGGCUUACAGACCCACUUCCCUU
rnacentral:RNase_P_RNA from 1 species